rnacentral:tRNA from 1 species
GCCGAGGUGGCGGAAUUGGUAGACGCGCUAGGUUUAGGUCCUGGUGCCCUUUGGGCGUGGAGGUUCGAGUCCUCUCCUCGGCACCA